UAACGGUUGAGCAUUUCUAGCCCCAAGC
rnacentral:piRNA from 1 species